rnacentral:ncRNA from 10 species
AGCAGAGUAAGUGCCUACGCGUUAAGUGCCGGAGUACGGGGAGUUGACAUCUGGACGAAAGCCUUCGGGCUGCGGUGUAAGCAUUGCAUCCCGCUGCU